rnacentral:rRNA from 1 species
AACGAACGCUGGCGGCAUGCCUAACACAUGCCAGUCGAACGAGACCUUCGGGUCUAGUGGCGCACGGGUGCGUAACGCGUGGGAACCUGCCCUUAGGUUCGGAAUAACUCCCCGAAAGGGGUGCUAAUACCGGAUAAUGUCUUCGGACCAAAGAUUUAUCGCCUUUGGAUGGGCCCGCGUUGGAUUAGCUAGUUGGUAGGGUAAAAGCCUACCAAGGCGACGAUCCAUAGCUGGUCUGAGAGGAUGAUCAGCCACACUAGGACUGAGACACGGCCCAGACUCCUACGGGAGGCAGCAGUGGGGAAUAUUGGACAAUGGGCGAAAGCCUGAUCCAGCAAUGCCGCGUGAGUGAUGAAGGCCUUAGGGUUGUAAAGCUCUUUUACCCGGGAUGAUAAUGACAGUACCGGGAGAAUAAGCUCCGGCUAACUCCGU